UACGUAGGGUGCGAGCGUUGUCCGGAAUUAUUGGGCGUAAAGGGCUCGUAGGCGGUUUGUCGCGUCGGGAGUGAAAACUCAGGGCUUAACCCUGAGCCUGCUUCCGAUACGGGCAGACUAGAGGUAUGCAGGGGAGAGCGGAAUUCCUGGUGUAGCGGUGAAAUGCGCAGAUAUCAGGAGGAACACCCGUGGCUAAGGCGGCUCUCUAGUACGGUACUGACGCUGAGACGCGAAAGCGUGGGGAGCGAACAGG
rnacentral:rRNA from 1 species